rnacentral:rRNA from 1 species
AUGGACCUGCGCGCGUAUUAGCUAGUUGGUGGAGUAACGGUUCACCAAGGCGAUGAUACGAUAGCCGACCUGAGAGGGUAAUCGGCCACAUUGGGACUGAGACACGGCCCAAACUCCUACGGGAGGCAGCAGUAGGGAAUCUUCCACAAUGGACGCAAGUCUGAUGGAGCAACGCCGCGUGGAUGAAGAAGGUCUUCGGAUCGUAAAAUCCUGUUGUUGAAGAAGAACGGUUGUGAGAGUAACUGCUCAUAGCGUGACGGUAAUCAACCAGAAAGUCACGGCUAACUACGUGCCAGCAGCCGCGGUAAUACGUAGGUGGCAAGCGUUGUCCGGAUUUAUUGGGCGUAAAGGGAGCGCAGGCGGUCUUUUAAGUCUGAAUGUGAAAGCCCUCAGCUUAACUGAGGAAGUGCAUCGGAAACUGAGAGACUUGAGUGCAGAAGAGGAGAGUGGAACUCCAUGUGUAGCGGUGAAAUGCGUAGAUAUAUGGAAGAACACCAGUGGCGAAGGCGGCUCUCUGGUCUGUUACUGACGCUGAGGCUCGAAAGCAUGGGUAGCGAACAGGAUUAGAUACCCUGGUAGUCCAUGCCGUAAACGAUGAGUGCUAAGUGUUGGGAGGUUUCCGCCUCUCAGUGCUGCAGCUAACGCAUUAAGCACUCCGCCUGGGGAGUACGACCGCAAGGUUGAAACUCAAAGGAAUUGACGGGGGCCCGCACAAGCGGUGGAGCAUGUGGUUUAAUUCGAAGCAACGCGAAGAACCUUACCAGGUCUUGACAUCUCCUGCAAGCCUAAGAGAUUAGGGGUUCCCUUCGGGGACAGGAAGACAGGUGGUGCAUGGUUGUCGUCAGCUCGUGUCGUGAGAUGUUGGGUUAAGUCCCGCAACGAGCGCAACCCUUGUUACUAGUUGCCAGCAUUAAGUUGGGCACUCUAGUGAGACUGCCGGUGACAAACCGGAGGAAGGUGGGGACGACGUCAAAUCAUCAUGCCCCUUAUGACCUGGGCUACACACGUGCUACAAUGGAUGGUACAAUGAGAAGCGAACUCGCGAGGGGAAGCUGAUCUCUGAAAACCAUUCUCAGUUCGGAUUGCAGGCUGCAACUCGCCUGCAUGAAGCUGGAAUCGCUAGUAAUCGCGGAUCAGCAUGCCGCGGUGAAUACGUUCCCGGGCCUUGUACACACCGCCCGUCACACCAUGAGA